rnacentral:rRNA from 1 species
UGGGGAAUAUUGGACAAUGGGCGAAAGCCUGAUCCAGCCAUGCCGCGUGUGUGAAGAAGGCCUUUUGGUUGUAAAGCACUUUAAGUGGGGAGGAAAAGCUUAUGGUUAAUACCCAUAGGCCCUGACGUUACCCACAGAAUAAGCACCGGCUAACUCUGUGCCAGCAGCCGCGGUAAUACAGAGGGUGCAAGCGUUAAUCGGAAUUACUGGGCGUAAAGCGCGCGUAGGUGGUUAUUUAAGUCAGAUGUGAAAGCCCCGGGCUUAACCUGGGAACUGCAUCUGAUACUGGAUAACUAGAGUAGGUGAGAGGGGAGUAGAAUUCCAGGUGUAGCGGUGAAAUGCGUAGAGAUCUGGAGGAAUACCGAUGGCGAAGGCAGCUCCCUGGCAUCAUACUGACACUGAGGUGCGAAAGCGUGGGUAGCAAACAGGAUUAGAUACCCUGGUAGUCCACGCCGUAAACGAUGUCUACCAGUCGUUGGGUCUUUUAAAGACUUAGUGACGCAGUUAACGCAAUAAGUAGACCGCCUGGGGAGUACGGCCGCAAGGUUA